AAGGUUUCCAGGGUAAAGGUCGUCUUCCCUGGGUUAGUCGGGUCCUAAGGUGAGGCUGAAAAGCGUAGCCGAUGGCCAGCAGGUUGAUAUUCCUGCACUAGUUAUAUGACUGAUGGAGCGACAGAGGAGGCUAACAUCCGCCCCUUAUUGGAUUGGGGACAAGGGAACAAGUUUUGUGUAUAGGCAAAUCCGUACACUUUAAGAACAAGUUCC
rnacentral:rRNA from 14 species